GAUGAACGCUGGCGGCGUGCCUAAUACAUGCAAGUCGAGCGAACGGACGAGAAGCUUGCUUCUCUGAUGUUAGCGGCGGACGGGUGAGUAACACGUGGAUAACCUACCUAUAAGACUGGGAUAACUUCGGGAAACCGGAGCUAAUACCGGAUAAUAUUUUGAACCGCAUGGUUCAAAAGUGAAAGACGUUCUUGCUGUCACUUAUAGAUGGAUCCACGCUGCAUUAGCUAGUUGGUAAGGUAACGGCUUACCAAGGCAACGAUGCAUAGCCGACCUGAGAGGGUGAUCAGCCACACUGGAACUGAGACACGGUCCAGACUCCUACGGGAGGCAGCAGUAGGGAAUCUUGCGCAAUGGGCGAAAGCCUGACGGAGCAACGCCGCGUGAGUGAUGAAGGUCUUCGGAUCGUAAAACUCUGUUAUUAGGGAAGAACAUAUGUGUAAGUAACUGUGCACAUCUUGACGUUACCUAAACAGAAAGCAACGGCUAACUACGUG
rnacentral:rRNA from 1 species